GUGCUUGCUUCAGCAGCACCCAUGCUAAAAUUGGAAUAAUACAGAGAAGUCCAGCAUGGAUCCUAUGCAAGGAUGACACACAUUCAUAAAAUAUUUCAUACAUUUGU
ensembl:snRNA U6 U6 spliceosomal RNA